rnacentral:rRNA from 1 species
GACAGAGGGUGCAAACGUUGCUCGGAAUUACUGGGCGUAAAGCGCGUGUAGGCUGACCGGAAAGUCGGGCGUGAAAUCCCUGGGCUCAACCCAGGAACUGCACUCGAAACUCCCGGUCUUGAGUACUGAUGAGGUAGGCGGAAUUGACGGUGUAGCGGUGAAAUGCUUAGAUAUCGUCAAGAACACCGAUAGCGAAGGCAGCUUACCAAGCAGUAACUGACGCUGAGGCACGAAAGUGCGGGGAUCAAACAGG